UCCGGUUCACCACCGGCAGUCCCCUUAGAGUCCCCGCCAUUACGCGAUGGCAACUAAGGGUAAGGGUUGCGCUCGUUACGGGACUUAACCCAACAUCUCACAACACGAGCUGACGACAGCCAUGCAGCACCUGUCUCCCGGUUCCUUUCGGCACUCUCGCAUCUCUGCAGGAUUCCGGGGAUGUCAAGGGUAGGUAAGGUUCUUCGCGUUGCAUCGAAUUAAACCACAUGCUCCACCGCUUGUGCGGGCCCCCGUCAAUUCCUUUAAGUUUUAACCUUGCGGCCGUACUUCCCAGGCGGAGAACUUAUCGCGUUAGCUUCGAUACUAAGCGGUCUAAGCCGCACAACAUCUAGUUCUCAUCGUUUACAGCGUGGACUAC
rnacentral:misc_RNA from 1 species